CGCAAGGAAGCGCGCCUGCUCGGGUGUGGCGAGGCGGAGGCGGAGGCGGGGCCUGGCCCAGGCUGCCUCAGUGCGCCUGCGCACGGCCUACCCCGAGAGUGGAGGGAAUGGCGCGUACGGGCGUGUCUCCCGGACUCCCCAGCCUCGGAUCCCGGGGCAACUCCGGCAUUCUUCCCUGUGAACUCACCACCUUGACCAGCCCAGAUUCCUCACCCCAUCUCCUGAACUCAGGGAAACUACUGGGCUCUGCCUCGAUUUUCUCUCUUGGUACCAUGGCCUGGAAAUCCUCUCCAGGAGGAGAGAAGAGAUCUGUCCCCAAGGUGCUGAUGGUCUGAUGAAGGAAAUGAGACACAUAUGCAAAUAAAUUCAUUACAAGG